rnacentral:tRNA from 1 species
GUCUUAAUAGUCAAUUAUGAUAUUAAAUUGCAAAUUUAAAGGUUUACUUAUAAUUAAGGCU